GGGUGAAGAGGGGAGGCGGGUUACACGUGGAUUCCGGAUUGCGGGGGUCGUUGCUUGCCUACCAGGAGGCUGCCUAGAUAGUGCCCAGAGUAAAACCAUUGUCUGUAACACUUUCCUGCAGCACUGUGCAGGUCUGGCACCUUCAAGUCUCAUCUUAACCUUUCAAUCACUCAUUCAUUCUUUCAUUCAGCAAAUAUCCACUCAGUGCCUUCAAGGGUGCCCAACGUUCUCUAGUAAUUGGGGACACAGCAAUGAGCAAAACAGGAAAGGUUGCAGACACUAAAUUCUAGUGGAAGAGCUGACUCAAGAUACUUUCCAGAUAUGAGAAGUAAUAAUAUGAGGGAAUUACCCUCUAAGCUGAGGUCAGGAGGAGGAGUCAGGCAUUUGAUCAGUGGGAAGGAUUUUCCUGAUAAGAAUUAACAACAAAUGCAAAGGACAGGUCCUGCUCGUGUUCAAGUUUGUUGUAGUUAAAGGCGGGAAAGGUUCCGGGGGCUUGGAGGCUGGCAGGGCAAGGAGCUUGGACUUUAUUCUGAGAGAAACAGGAACGGUUGGACAAUUUUAAGCUCUAGUGACAGAAUCUAAUUUUUAUUUUAACAGGAUCCCUUGGACUGCAUGUGAAUGAAUACAGGGUGGAGCCUCGAAAGGGCCGACAUGGGCAGACCAGUGAGGAGGUUCCUGUAGUGAUCCAGAAACCACCUGAUGCAUUCGACUCCUGCAUGAAGUAUGCUCCUCUGAGAGGACGCACCCCACCGGAGACCCUUCACUCCUCCAACCUCACCAGCUCCCUGCCUUAGAACAGGAAAUAUCACCAUCGAGGCUUUGUCGGCACCUCCUGUUCACAGAACAGCUGGACACCGGCCCCCAAGACAUGACUCAGGAUGCUGGAGAUGUGAAAGAACCUGGCCCUGUCCUGGGAAAAUACUGAGUCCAGUCCAACCCCUUGAUUUAUGCACACCGCGGGUCCUCAGACAACAAACCGUAAGCCCCUUUUUACAGACAAGGACAUCGAGCCCAAGAGAGAUUAGUCACUUAGCCAGGGGAGCACCCAGCCAGCGUCCAGUGUGCCCAGAAGGUAGGAGUGAUGAGGCUGGAGACCUGUGCCCGACAGGUCCUCAGAGCAGGUGGCCUGGCCUUGAGUGGCCUCGGCAAGUCUCUCUCGGUGUCCCUCUGUGCAGUAUGCAGAGCCAGGUGGGGAAAGAUGGGAGCAGGAGACGGGGAUGGAGCCUCCCGGGGCUGAAGUCAAGGGUUUACAAGACGGGAGGAAUGACCUUUUGUUUUCCUCCCCAGAAUGGUACAGCAGAGGGGGAUGCUGCUGUUAUUUCUGGGGGUGCAGUUGCUGCUGGUGGGGGCAUUCCUCUACCAGAACCACCACGGCUGCAGCCUCACCUUCUUCCUGCAUUUUAACCAGUGACAUCUGCAAAACCCCUAUUUCCAAACAAGAUGACGUACUGAAGUUCCAGGUGGGUGUGAAUUUGUGGGGGGACGUGAUUUAACCCAGUACACCUGGGUAGCGGGGGUUUCUGGGAUGGGUCCCUGCCGGCGUGGCCCCACGUGGCAGGGGUGGUGCCCUACUGUGGGCAGGCCCAGCUCCUGCUCUCCCACCUGCACCCCUUCCUCCAGUGCCAGCAACUGCACUGUGCCGUCUACAUGGUGAGCCAGCUGCAGCAGGAAUGAGGAGGCCCAGGAGCAAGAGGGCAGAGGGGUCUGAGCCUGGCCUCGGAGAGCCGGGGCUGGAGUCUUCAGUGUCUGAGCUGAGAGUGUCUGCGCCUGAGAGUGUCCAGGGGGCAGGAUUGAUGCGUCAAGAAGAACUUGAACUGGGGGAGACCAGAACCAAGGGCUAUAUGUUUGGUCUAGACUGGCUUAGGCUGGGAUCCGCUUGAGUAGCUGACUAAGGGAAGGGCUCAUCCCACUGAGUCUGGGUCUCUGAGACCAAGGCUUGUUGGAUUGGGCAGCAACCCAAGGGGUAAAGUAAAGUGCUGGGUCUGAGGUCUGUGAGAUGCCUGUUUGAAUCUCGGCCUUGGCCAUUACUACUUGCGUGGUCUGAGGUUGGGACCAGUCUUCAUCUCUCCCAUCCAUCCAUCCAUUCAUUCAACGCACUGUUCCUCAGUAUGACUAUGUAUAGAUUUGGGGAAUCUGCGCUCAGUGCUACUGUUUUCUCAUUCAUGAGUCAAAGGUUCAUUGAGAUAAUGAGUGUAAAGCAAUGAGGCCAGUGCCUGGCACAUAGUAGGUGCUUAAUAAGUGACAGUGAUGGGUGGAGAGGGAGGUGGGAGGGGGGAUUGGGA